rnacentral:lncRNA from 1 species
AGUAAUGUUCGAAGUGGGGCAAAUUAUGCGGAUGAGGUAAGAAUAUAUUAUAAUUAUUUGUUUGUAUUAUUUAUUUGUUACCUAAUAAUUUCAUUAUUAUUAUUUGUUUGUAUUAUUUAUUUGUUACCUAAUAAUUUCAUUAUUAUUAUUUGUUUGUAUUAUUUAUUUGUUACCUAAUAAUAAUUUCAUUAUUAUUAUUUGUUUGUAUUAUUUAUUUGUUACCUAAUAAUUUCAUUAUUAUUCAUUUGUUUGUAUUAUUUAUUUGUUACCUAUUCAUUUGUUUGUAUUAUUUAUUUGUUACCUAAUAAUUUCAUUAUUAUUAUUUGUUUGUAUUAUUUAUUUGUUACCUAAUAAUAAUUUCAUUAUUAUUAUUUGUUUGUAUUAUUUAUUUGUUACCUAGUAAUUUCAUUAUUAUUCAUUUGUUUGUAUUAUUUAUUUGUUACCUAAUAAUUUCAUUAUUAUUAUUUGUUUGUAUUAUUUAUUUG